ACAAAAGGAACAAAUAAAAAAAUCAAGUAAUAUUCUCGAUACAAAGUGAUGGGGCAGAAGUUUACAAAACAUCAUUUUGGGGUGAAAACAAAAAGAAGAUAUAUUAUGAAAGCAAUACGUGAUUUUUAUAAGACUACAAAUUAUGUAAUAUUGUUUAUGUUAUCAUUGUUGGUAACCCCGAAAUAUUUGGAUCAGAGCCUAAAAAUAAAUUCAUUUUUAAACCAGAGGAAUGCGCCUACACAAAAUAUAGUUAUUAUUAUUAUUAUUUACAAAAUAUUAGAUGCCACCCAGGAAUUAUAUGGGACAUGGGUAUGGAAAGCAAGAGGGUCAUGGAAGAUGGAAGAUAUUUUUGUCUGGAGGACAUUCUUGCCAGUAAUUACAACUUUUUCCUCAUUAUUCUAAGGUUCCAGGUGUCUUUGACAAAGAAACAGACACAUAUAAUCACUGAUCCUCCAUCGUAUUUAAUACUGAUAACAGAAACGGACAAUAGAUCACAAAAGCAAAAAAAAAAAUACAUAUAUAUAAGUUAUAGAAAUGCUUUAGUUACAUGUAUUUUGUGGAAACCAUUAAAGAUGCCUAACAAUUUAGGCAUCCCUAACUUGUGGCACCAAAACAAACAAAUAAAACAAAUGUUAUAAAAUGUUCCUCACUGAAAAAAAAAUACUCAAAUGAAAGACGUUUCUAAAUUUUGCAGUUUGAGAAUAUGCUUCUUUAAUUAAAAAUGACGUUAAUUCAAUGUUUUCUUGUCAAGACGAGGUCUGCACAAAUUCCGCACUCAGACUUGAACCUCGUACAUGGUUCAAUGUAGGUGUGAUCAUACUGUUAAAGCUUGUUUAAUAUAAGUCAGAUGCUGCUGGUUUUUGUGGAGAAACCAGUAAUGAACACUCAACAGAAUACUGUCAAAAGCUGUUCAAACAGAAAGCUUCAAAGAUUCCUCAGAAAGUAAAAGGAUGAGGGAAAAGUGUACAGCAGCAUGUUAGCGCGGUAAGGAGACCUCCACCAACACAGAGGUUUACCUGGUGGAGCGAAGAACUCCCAGCGUGACUUAGGGUUGCUGGAGGACUGCGGGGACUUGACACUGAUUUCAAACUCUACAGCAAAAUGAUAAAAAUACGUGGAUGGAAGAAAAACAGGGAAUGUGGGAGAGAAGGAAAACAGGGAAGGAAAUAAUGAGGGAUAGGAUAGGUGUGAAAAUCAGGAGCUGAAGCAGACAACCUGAGACUUUAAGUCAAACCAGGGAAAAGUUCUGUAUUUUUACUUAUGUGGUGGGUUUAGUAGAAUUUUAGUUAGUAAUAAGUAGACUCUUGGUAUUAGGACGUGCGAUUUAUUUUUUCAAUAUAUUUCAGUUGGCUCAAAACAGAUAUCUGAACGUUUUGUUUUUAAAAUGCUUUAAAGUGUCCUAUUGAUAUGGAUUAAAAUCUGUACACAACUAAGAAGUGACUACAAUAGGUUGUGAUCAGUCAUUUUAUCUUAUGUAAGCAGAAAGUUCUGAAAAGCUAAAAGAAAAACAG